CAAAACCCUACACUGUUUGCAAAUUAGGAAAUGGCAGGUGUAAUCAUUUGGUCUUUUGGUUGCUGAUAUAACAAGUUGCAUUUAUUUUCUCAGAUUGCAGCAAUAUGAUGAAUGUGCAGUGCAAGAGAAUCUUCAAGAGAGCAUGAAGUUGAAACCAGGAAAAAUGGCAAAUAUUAAAUAAGGAAAAUGUGAGUUACGUCUCUACCUGCCACUAAAGACAUUUGCGGGUGGAUACUGUCAAGUCUGUGGAGUUCUGCUUCUUGUGGUUGCUUCAGUGAACAUUCAACGCUGUCGGUGAGUUUGGGAUUAAAGUGAGAACCAUCGACCGUUGAUUGUACCCUCCAGCUAACCAUCUUCCUCUUUGCUUCAUGCGUGCAGACCUUUCGCUGAAGACAGCCACAAAACCAGCGCACAAGAUUUGGGUUUCUCGGUGGGGGGGAAGGGAAGAGAUGAGGGAGCCUAUCUUCCCUUACAGGGUUUCCACAAACACAAAAGGUCACAAUUAACAUUCAUUGCUGUCGGUGGGUUUAACUAUGUGGACAAGCUCACUGAACAAUGAAUGCAACUGUGGCCCCACUUUUUACAAUCGUAGUCAGGAGGAAUACUGGCUUUGAAAGCAGCACCCAAGGUGGAUCUCUUUGGCUGAAAACCUACACUUCUUAGAUCAAGAGGCUCAAAUAAUUUCAAACUGCUUGCUUGUCUCUGUCGUGUGGGGCCAGGAAGACCCCCCCGAGGAUGUCACUUCAUUGAAUUUCAUGAUUAUGUCAAAUAAAAGUCUUUGCUUUUUAUCUGCCGCUUCUUACCUAGAUUGGAGGUUCUUGACCUUGUUUUACCAUGAAUAUUUUUUUUUAAACAACAACAGCACUGAUAUGCUGUCCUCAGGACCUUCAAUGUAAUUAAGGCUAGUAACACUCACAGCAAAACUCAUUGCUGCCCUUACCUAGGAAAUAGAAGGUCAAACAAAAGAAGGAGGAACCAAGACCCUAUGGGAACAUACCAUGUCUUUUAGAUCUGUGGUGGAAGCGGGGAGCAAAUGAAAAUUCAGUGAACGAAUGAGCACAACUUUCUUUAUUGUGCUGAUUGGACCUAACGUAGGACCACAAUGACCAAUCAGGGCACAUGAUGGGAGGGAUUAGGGAGGAGCUCACCCCUCCUAUGGAGGUCUUGCCUAAGCCCCUGAGAAAAAGCAGAAACCUAGGAAGCUGCUUUAUAACAAAACAGACACUAGUACAUCUAUGUGUAGCUCAGUAUAGUUUGUUUCCUGGUCCUACCUGAAAAUGCCAGGGAUUCAACCUCAACCCUUUUACAUUCAAAUCUGUGCUUUACCAUGAAGCUUUGGUCCUCUCCUAGAUACACAUUCAUGCACAGGUUACAUCAAAACAGAAGGAAGGAAGGAAGGAGUCUUUGUUUUCUUCCAGGAGGUUAUCUCAUAUCCCUAAACUUCAUUAGAAGUGAAACGCAAUUCGCGUGUGCUCCUGUGACAACUACUCAUUUUAAUUUUGCCCUAGAACAAGAGUAUUCUUGUGAUUUUGUGUUUAAAUUUGCAUAUGUUAUGCUUCAGAAGCUUGUGUCUCGGUGUUUUAUUUUUGUAUCAGAUGAAUAUUUUUCUUUGUACAUGAUUUGUUUUAAGGGUACAGUUUCCUGACAGUUUCUAUACAAUUGACACCAACACUCCCUUGUCAAAAGUAUUGUAAGCCACUCCCUCCUCAUAAAAAAGCAUCACUAGGUAUUUUUAUUUAAAAAGAAUUCAGGUAAUAUUUUCCAGAUGGAAAGUGCAAUCUAUUGCAGAAGGUGCUGUUCAAAUAAUUGUAACAACUUGAUUUUGGAGCCUGUUAUUAUAAAUUGCUUAACUCUGUUGCA